rnacentral:rRNA from 1 species
AAUGAACGCUGGCGGCGCGCCUAAUACAUGCAAGUCGAGCGAGAAGACGUAGCAAUACGUUUGUAAAGCGGCGAACGGGUGAGGAAUACAUGGGUAACCUACCCUCGAGUGGGGAAUAACUAGCCGAAAGGUUAGCUAAUACCGCGUACGCUCCUUGGACUUCGGUUCAGGGAGGAAAGCGAUACCGUGGGUAUCGCGCUCUUGGUUGGGCUCAUGUCCUAUCAGCUUGUUGGUGAGGAACGGCUCACCAAGGCUUCGACGGGUAGCUGGUCUGAGAGGACGAUCAGCCACACUGGCACUGCGACACGGGCCAGACUCCUACGGGAGGCAGCAGUAAGGAAUAUUGCGCAAUGGGCGAAAGCCUGACGCAGCGACGCCGCGUGGGGGAUGAAGGUCUUCGGAUUGUAAACCCCUUUCGGGAGGGAAGAUGGAACGAGCAAUCGUUCGGACGGUACCUCCAGAAGCAGCCACGGCUAACUUCGUGCCAGCCGCCGCUGUAAG